rnacentral:rRNA from 1 species
GCACCUGAUUGACGAUGGAUCACCAGUGAGUGGCGGACGGGUGAGUAACACGUAGGUAACCUGCCCCGGAGCGGGGGAUAACAUUUGGAAACAGAUGCUAAUACCGCAUAACAACAAAAGCCACAUGGCUUUUGUUUGAAAGAUGGCUUUGGCUAUCACUCUGGGAUGGACCUGCGGUGCAUUAGCUAGUUGGUAAGGUAACGGCUUACCAAGGCGAUGAUGCAUAGCCGAGUUGAGAGACUGAUCGGCCACAAUGGAACUGAGACACGGUCCAUACUCCUACGGGAGGCAGCAGUAGGGAAUCUUCCACAAUGGGCGCAAGCCUGAUGGAGCAACACCGCGUGAGUGAAGAAGGGUUUCGGCUCGUAAAGCUCUGUUGUUGGAGAAGAACGUGCGUGAGAGUAACUGUUCACGCAGUGACGGUAUCCAACCAGAAAGUCACGGCUAACUACGUGCCAGCAGCCGCGGUAAUACGUAGGUGGCAAGCGUUAUCCGGAUUUAUUGGGCGUAAAGCGAGCGCAGGCGGUUGCUUAGGUCUGAUGUGAAAGCCUUCGGCUUAACCGAAGAAGUGCAUCGGAAACCGGGCGACUUGAGUGCAGAAGAGGACAGUGGAACUCCAUGUGUAGCGGUGGAAUGCGUAGAUAUAUGGAAGAACACCAGUGGCGAAGGCGGCUGUCUGGUCUGCAACUGACGCCGAGGCUCGAAGCAUGGGUAGCGAACAGGAUUAGAUACCCUGGUAGUCCAUGCCGUAAACGAUGAGUGCUAGGUGUUGGAGGGGUUUCCGC